rnacentral:rRNA from 1 species
AUUCCAGCUCCAAUAGCGUAUAUUAAAGUUGUUGCAGUUAAAAAGCUCGUAGUUGGAUUUCGGGGCAGCCUGGCUGGUCCGCCGCAAGGCGAGUACUGGUCAGCCGCCCUUCCUCUCGAAAGCCCCGACUGCUCUUCAUUGUAGUGGUCGGGUAGUUCGGGACGUUUACUUUGAAAAAAUUAGAGUGUUCAAGGCAGGCCUACGCCUGAAUACAUUAGCAUGGAAUAAUGGAAGAGGACCUCGGUCCUAUUUUGUUGGUUUCCAGGGCCGAAGUAAUGAUUAAGAGGGACAGUUGGGGGCAUUCGUAUUUAAUUGUCAGAGGUGAAAUUCUCGGAUUUAUGAAAGACGAACAACUGCGAAAGCAUUUGCCAAGGAUGUUUUCAUCG